ACUAUGUAUGGCCGAGUGGUUAAGGCGUUGGACUUAAGAUCCAAUGGAUGUAUAUCCGCGUGGGUUCAAACCCCACUCCUGGUA
rnacentral:tRNA from 1 species